GCUGAGUUGCCUGGGAAAUACUUUGGUUGGUUGGGCUCUGAUGUGGUGACCCAUUCCCUACUGUUGGUAUGUGUAAUGCAGUAGCCAGACUUGGGUUCAUGCUGCUUUCGCCACCAGUGGCCAAGGGAGACUGUAGUAAACUUUCUGAAUGUAAGCCUCUGCCUAACUCAGACGUGGACCUUGUUAACCCGGGCGCCAUCCGAGCCAGUAUGCUUACAUUUUAUACUUUGUACCAUUGCAUACCAAUUGUACAGCACCGAAGUGGGGAUACCUGCUAGCAUUUAGUUGAGCAUAAUGGAAUAGCCUUCUCGCCCUAGGUGACCCUACG
rnacentral:lncRNA from 1 species